rnacentral:rRNA from 1 species
UACGGAGGGUGCAAGCGUUGUUCGGAAUUACUGGGCGUAAAGGGCGCGUAGGUGGUUGUGUAAGUCAGAUGUGAAAUCCUGAGGCUCAACCUCAGAACUGCAUCUGAUACUGCAUUGACUAGAGUGCAGCAGAGGGAAACGGAAUUCCCGGUGUAGAGGUGAAAGUCGUAGAUAUCGGGAGGAACACCGGUGGCGAAGGCGGUUUCCUGGGCUGACACUGACACUGAGGCGCGAAAGCGUGGGUAGCAAACAGG